GGCUCCGUAGUUCAAUGGAUAGAAUGGAAGAUUCCGGUUCUUUUGAUGGCGGUUCGAAUCCGCCCGGGGUCA
rnacentral:tRNA from 1 species